UACGUAGGGCGCAAGCGUUGUCCGGAAUCAUUGGGCGUAAAGGGCGCGUAGGUGGCCCGGUCAGUCCGUGGUGAAAGCGCGGGGCUCAACCCCGCGUCGGCCAUGGAUACUGCUGGGCUUGAGCACUGUAGAGGCAGGCGGAAUUCCGGGUGUAGCGGUGGAAUGCGUAGAGACCGUCGAAGAACACCGGUGGCGAAGGCGGCCUGACUGGGCAGUGGCUGACACUGAGGCGCGACAGCGUGGGGAGCAAACAGG
rnacentral:rRNA from 1 species